UUUCUGUAGGUGAACCUGCAG
rnacentral:rRNA from 1 species